AUACGGAGGGGGCUAGCGUUGUUCGGAUUUACUGGGCGUAAAGGGCGCGUAGGCGGCCUGUUGCGUCAGGUGUGAAAGCUCCGGGCUCAACCUGGGAGGUGCACUUGAUACGGGCGGGCUCGAAUCCGGGAGAGGAUGGUGGAAUUCCCAGUGUAGAGGUGAAAUUCGUAGAUAUUGGGAAGAACACCGAUGGCGAAGGCAGCCAUCUGGCCCGGGAUUGACGCUGAGGCGCGAAAGCGUGGGGAGCAAACAGGAUUAGAUACCCCAGUAGUCC
rnacentral:rRNA from 1 species